CAGCCGCCACGGUAAUACGUAGGUGGCAAGCGUUGUCCGGAAUUAUUGGGCGUAAAGGGCUCGCAGGCGGUUUCUUAAGUCUGAUGUGAAAGCCCCCGGCUCAACCGGGGAGGGUCAUUGGAAACUGGGAAACUUGAGUGCAGAAGAGGAGAGUGGAAUUCCACGUGUAGCGGUGAAAUGCGUAGAGAUGUGGAGGAACACCAGUGGCGAAGGCGACUCUCUGGUCUGUAACUGACGCUGAGGAGCGAAAGCGUGGGGAGCAAACAGGAUUAGAGACCCGCGUAGUCCCUGUCUCUUAUAC
rnacentral:rRNA from 1 species